GGGACGCUUCUUAGAGGACUAUCGGUGUCUAACCGAUGGAAGUUUGAGGCAAUAACAGGUCUGUGAUGCCCUUAGAUGUUCUGGGCUGCACGCGCGCUACACUGAUGAAGUCAACGAGUUCAUUUCCUUUAUCGGGGGAUAUGGGUAAUCUUUUGAAACUUCAUCGUGAUGGGGAUAGAGCAUUGCAAUUAUUGCUCUUGAACGAGGAAUCCCUAGUAAGCACAAGUCAUUAGCUUGUGCUGAUUACGUCCCUGCCCUUUGUACACACCGCCCGUCGUUACUACUGAUUGAAUGGCUUAGUGAGGCCCUCGGAUUGGGAUUUGGGGACUGGCAACAGACUCCGAUUCUUGAGAAGUCGGUCAAACUUGGUCAUUUAGAGGAAGUAAAAGUCGUAACAAGGUUUCCGUAGGUGAACCUGCGGAAGGAUCAUUA
rnacentral:rRNA from 1 species